GGAGGGUUGGCCGAGUGGUCUAUGGCGGCGGAUUGCUAAUCCGUAGCAGGGGCGUACACCUCUGUCGGGAGUUCGAAUCUCCCACUCUCCG
rnacentral:tRNA from 1 species